rnacentral:lncRNA from 1 species
GCACAGGGAGGGAGGAAGGAGGGGUCAGUUCCGGGCUGGGGAGGGGGCUUCUGAGCCCCCUUCCCAACCGUCACUCAAUCCUGCCUAUGACUACCAGAAGGGGAGGGUGCAGUCGGGCCUACCCCAGCCCCAUCCCAAGAGGAGCAGGACUACACCAAGCUGAGGUCAGGAGUUGGGGGGGAGGAGGAGAGGGAAGAGGAGGAGAUGGGAGGAGAGAAAAGGGUGGGAGCACACACCACAGGCCUCAUCCCACUUUCUGGGGGUUUGAGGCCCUCACUCCCUGCUCGUAGGUGACCCGCUGACUGAUGAGGUAUUGAGCGGCUUGCGUGGCCGCGGGGCUGCCCGUGAUGGUGACCCGCCGGUUCCGCGUGCCUGGCAGGAACUCGCCCUUCUUGGAGAUCUGGAUGCGAGCGCCCGUCAGCUCCUGGUUGAUGCCCUCCGGCUUCUGGGACAGCUGCACCCAUGCUCCUGACUGUUCCAUCACGGCUUUCACCGUGGCGCCUCCCUUGCCGAUGAUCAGGCCCGCCGUGCUGUUGGGGACGAUCAGCUUGGCCUGC